rnacentral:rRNA from 1 species
UUUAUGGAGAGUUUGAUCCUGGCUCAGGACGAACGCUGGCGGCGUGCCUAAUACAUGCAAGUCGAGCGAACAGAGAAGGAGCUUGCUCCUUUGACGUUAGCGGCGGACGGGUGAGUAACACGUGGGCAACCUACCCUAUAGUUUGGGAUAACUCCGGGAAACCGGGGCUAAUACCGAAUAAUCU